rnacentral:rRNA from 1 species
UGGGGAAUAUUGGACAAUGGGCGCAAGCCUGAUCCAGCAAUGCCGCGUGUGUGAAGAAGGCCUUCGGGUUGUAAAGCACUUUUAUCGGGAACGAAAUCGGCGAGGUCAAUACCCUUGUCGUCUGACGGUACCCGAGGAAUAAGCACCGGCUAACUCCGUGCCAGCAGCCGCGGUAAUACGGAGGGUGCAAGCGUUAAUCGGAAUUACUGGGCGUAAAGCGUGCGUAGGCGGUUUGUUAAGUCUGCUGUGAAAGCCCCGGGCUCAACCUGGGAAUGGCAGUGGAUACUGGCAAGCUUGAGUGUGUCAGAGGAUGGCGGAAUUCCCGGUGUAGCGGUGAAAUGCGUAGAGAUCGGGAGGAACAUCAGUGGCGAAGGCGGCCAUCUGGGACAACACUGACGCUGAGGCACGAAAGCGUGGGGAGCAAACA